rnacentral:rRNA from 1 species
AGCAGCCGCGGUAAUUCCAGCUCCAAUAGCGUAUAUUAAAGUUGUUGCAGUUAAAAAAGCUCGUAGUUGAAUUUCGGGAUCAAUACGUCGGUCGUGCUUCGGUACGUACUGGCGUCAUUGGUUUCUCCCUUCUGACGAACCACGAUGUCAUUAACUUGGUGUCAUGGGAAAUCAGGACUGUUACUUUGAAAAAAUUAGAGUGUUUAAAGCAGGCUCACGCUUGAAUACAUUAGCAUGGAAUAAUGAAAUAGGACGUUCGAUCCUAUUUUGUUGGUUUCUAGGAUCAACGUAAUGAUUAAUAGGGAUAGUUGGGGGCAUUAGUAUUCACUUGUCAGAGGUGAAAUUCUUGGAUUUAUUGAAGACUAACUACUGCGAAAGCAUUUGCCAAGGAUGUUUUCAUUAAUCAAGAACGAAAGUUAGGGGAUCGAAGACGAUCAGAUACCGUCGUAGUCUUAACCAUAAACUAUGCCGACUAGGGAUCGGAUGAUGUUAAUUUUUAAUGACUCAUUCGGCGCCUUAA